CCCUUUGAACAAAAAGAAAUUCGUUCUCCAAUUAACUUCGACUCGCGACUGUUAAUCGCUUUUAUUUUCCUAGAUUCUUUUUAAUGCGUCUUAACCUUGACUAUCAUCUUCAAAGUCUCUUAAGGAUCACUCUUGCGCGAUGACAACUUCAGUUUGACUCUUGAUCGCGAUAUAUAUCGAUAACGAUCGAUUUGACUGUUAACCGUCGGCGGCCAUGUUUGUUUGUUUCGUCGCGCGCGUAACAGUCCUGUUCGACUGAAAUCUUUUUGCAAAAGGAAUCGCAUAACGAGGAAAAUAGUAUUCAAUAAGAGUGGUUCGUAACAUAACCUGUCUAUGCAUCUUCGUGUUUCUCGAGAUCACUGUCACGGAAGAUAGUGAGUUUAACUAUCGAUUAGAAA